rnacentral:rRNA from 1 species
GUACACGCUGUGACUAGCAUAUCAAUAAGCGGAGGAAAAGAAACUAACUAGGAUUCCCUCAGUAACGGCGAGUGAAGCGGGAAGAGCUCAAAUUUGAAAUCUUCAAGGUUCUACCUUGACGAAUUGUAGUUUAAAGAAGUGUUUUCUGUUGGAGUUUUGGUAAAAGUUCUUUGGAAUAGGACAUCAUAGAGGGUGAGAAUCCCGUAUUUGACCAUUAUUUCCAGCUUUGUGAUACACUUUCAAAGAGUCGGAUUGUUUGGGAAUGCAGUCCAAAAUGGGUGGUAAAUUUCAUCUAAAGCUAAAUACUUGGCGAGAGACCGAUAGCGAACAAGUACCGUGAGGGAAAGAUGAAAAGAACUUUGAAAAGAGAGUUAAACAGUACGUGAAAUUGUCAAAAGGGAAGCGUUUGACACCAGUGUUGUUUUCUCGAAAAUCAAUUAAAAAAGGCAGGAUUUUGUGUUGUAUUGACUUUAUCAGCUUUCUGCACUCUUUUCUUGUCUUUUUUAAUGCACUUUUCGUUUAACAAGUCAACAUCAAUUUCUUUUGUUGUAAAAGGGUCAUUGGAAGGUGGCUUUCUUUUCGGAGAAAGUGUUUAUAGCCUUUGGCCUCUGCAAUCGGAGAGAUUGAGGUCUGCAGCGUAGAUCCUUCGGGGUUAGAUACAUUUGUGCUAAGUUAUAGCCUUUCAUAGACAACUUGUUGACUAUGAUCAGUCAUGUAGCUUACUCGCUUAUGCUAUUUUACCUACGCUUAGGAUGUUGAAGACUCUACAGAGAUA